rnacentral:rRNA from 1 species
AUGACAUUUUUUCUUGUUGAUUUCAUCAGAUGGUUAACAUUCCAAGCUUGUGCUUAUAGAGGCCAUAACGAAUCUCCGGGAUCAAGUAAUCAGGGUAAUUUUCUUCAUCUGCUGAGGUUCUUGGCUUCUUAUAGCAAAGAGGUGAAUGCGGUUGUUUUGGAAAAUGCUCCAAGGAAUGCGAAGUACACCUCCCAUACAGUGCAACUAGAAAUCCUCACAUUACUUUCUAGUAGAGUUAAGGAAAAAAUUAGAGAUGAAAUUGGUACUAGCAAGUUCUGCAUAAUGGUAGACGAAGCACGAGAUGAAUCAAAGAAAGAGCAAAUGGCAUUGGUUCUUCGAUUCCCGAGCACCGAGGGGUUCAUACAGGAGCGUUUU